UGGGAAGUGCGAGUUGUUCUGACUUUGGGU
rnacentral:piRNA from 1 species